GGGCCCGUGGCCUAGCCAGGAUAGGGCAUCGGCCUCCUAAGCCGAGGGUCCCCGGUUCAAAUCCGGGCGGGCCCGCCA
rnacentral:tRNA from 1 species